rnacentral:rRNA from 1 species
AGUGAACGCUGGCGGUAGGCCUAACACAUGCAAGUCGAACGGCAGCACAGUAAGAGCUUGCUCUUACGGGUGGCGAGUGGCGGGCGGGUGAGGAAUACAUCGGAAUCUACUUUUUCGUGGGGGAUAACGUAGGGAAACUUACGCUAAUACCGCAUACGACCUACGGGUGAAAGCAGGGGAUCUUCGGACCUUGCGCGAUUGAAUGAGCCGAUGUCGGAUUAGCUAGUUGGCGGGGUAAAGGCCCACCAAGGCGACGAUCCGUAGCUGGUCUGAGAGGAUGAUCAGCCACACUGGAACUGAGACACGGUCCAGACUCCUACGGGAGGCAGCAGUGGGGAAUAUUGGACAAUGGGCGCAAGCCUGAUCCAGCCAUACCGCGUGGGUGAAGAAGGCCUUCGGGUUGUAAAGCCCUUUUGUUGGGAAAGAAAAGUAGCAGGUUAAUACCCCGCUGUUCUGACGGUACCCAAAGAAUAAGCACCGGCUAACUUCGUG